rnacentral:rRNA from 1 species
UACGGGGGGGGCAAGCGUUGUUCGGAAUUACUGGGCGUAAAGGGCGUGUAGGCGGCCAACUAAGUCCGACGUGAAAUCCCCAGGCUUAACCUGGGAACUGCGUCGGAUACUGGAUGGCUUGAAUCCGGGAGAGGGAUGCGGAACUCCAGGUGUAGCGGUGAAAUGCGUAGAUAUCUGGAGGAACAUCAGUGGCGAAAGCGGCUUCCUGGACCAGAACUGACGAUCAGGCUCGAAAGCGUGGGGAGCAAACAGG